GUUUGGUCCUAGCCUGAAAUCAGUUAUUAAUUAUAUUACACAUGCAAGUCUCCGCACCCCUGUGAGAACGCCCUUAAAUCCCCCUUAGGGAUUAGGAGCUGGUAUCAGGAUCAUAAUUUGCCCAAGACACCUAGCCUCGCCACACCCACAAGGGAACUCAGCAGUGAUUAACAUUGACUAUAAGCGACAGCUUGAUUCAGUUAAAUUUACAGAGCCGGCCAAUUUGGUGCCAGCCGCCGCGGUUACACCAGAAGCUCAAACUGAUUACUAUCGGCGUAAAGCGUGAUUAAAGCAACUAACUUACUGGAAUUAAAUUAAAACUGAGCCGUGACACGCCUGUUAUUUAAGAAAACCACAAACGAAAGCUAUUCCAACUAAAUCCACUUGAACUCACGACAACUGAGACACAAACUGGGAUUAGAUACCCCACUAUGCUCAGUCGUAAACUUUAAAUUACAACUCACUCGCCCGGGAACUACGAGCUAAGCUUAAAACCCAAAGGACUUGACGGUACCCCACAUCCACCUAGAGGAGCCUGUCCUAUAAUCGAUAAUCCACGUUUAACCUCACCAUUUUUAGCUUACUCAGCCUGUAUACCUCCGUCGUCAGCUUACCACGUGAGCGCCAGUGAGCUUAAUGUCUAUUCAACAAUACGUCAGGUCAAGGUGCAACUUAUGAAAUGGGAAGAGAUGGGCUACACUCUCUAAUUUAGAAUACACGAAAAACUACUUAUGAAAUCUAGUCAGAAGGCGGAUUUAGCAGUAAACGGGAACCAGAAGGUCCCUUUUAAUUUGGCACUGGGGUGUGUACACACCGCCCGUCACCCUCCUCGAAUGCUUUAGAACAGUUUUUAACAAAAUCUAGCUUUUCAAGAAGAGGUAAGUCGUAACAUGGUAAGUAUACCGGAAGGUAUGCUUGGAAU
rnacentral:ncRNA from 1 species